rnacentral:tRNA from 1 species
GUGGCUUUAGCUCAGUCGGUAGAGCAUCGGGUUGUGGUCCCGAGGGUCGUGGGUUCAAGCCCCACAAGCCACCCCA